UACGAAGGGGGCUAGCGUUGUUCGGAUUUACUGGGCGUAAAGCGCAUGUAGGCGGGUCGUUAAGUUGGGGGUGAAAGCCCGAGGCUCAACCUCGGAACUGCCUUCAAAACUGGCGACCUGGAGCAUGAUAGAGGCGAGUGGAAUUCUGAGUGUAGAGGUGAAAGUCGUAGAUAUUCGGAGGAACACCAGUGGCGAAGGCGACUCGCUGGAUCAUUGCUGACGCUGAGAUGUGAAAGCGUGGGGAGCAAACAGG
rnacentral:rRNA from 1 species